UACGUAGGUGACAAGCGUUGUCCGGAUUUACUGGGCGUAAAGAGCGCGCAGGCGGUCGUUCAAGUCGCGUGUGAAAGCCCCCGGCUCAACUGGGGAGGGUCACGCGAUACUGAUCGACUCGAAGGCAGGAGAGGGUAGUGGAAUUCCCGGUGUAGUGGUGAGAUGCGUAGAUAUCGGGAGGAACACCAGUGGCGAAGGCGACUACCUGGCCUGUUCUUGACGCUGAGGCGCGAAAGCUAGGGGAGCAAACGGG
rnacentral:rRNA from 1 species